AUGCACGCUGGCGGCGUGCCUAAUCCCUGCCAGUCGAGCGAACAGAUAAGGAGCUUGCUCCUUUGACGUUAGCGGCGGACGGGUGAGUAACACGUGGGUAACCUACCUAUAAGACUGGGAUAACUUCGGGAAACCGGAGCUAAUACCGGAUAACAUUUGGAACCGCAUGGUUCUAAAGUGAAAGAUGGUUUUGCUAUCACUUAUAGAUGGACCCGCGCCGUAUUAGCUAGUUGGUAAGGUAACGGCUUACCAAGGCAACGAUACGUAGCCGACCUGAGAGGGUGAUCGGCCACACUGGAACUGAGACACGGUCCAGACUCCUACGGGAGGCAGCAGUAGGGAAUCUUCCGCAAUGGGCGAAAGCCUGACGGAGCAACGCCGCGUGAGUGAUGAAGGGUUUCGGCUCGUAAAACUCUGUUAUUAGGGAAGAACAAAUGUGUAAGUAACUGUGCACGUCUUGACGGUACCUAAUCAGAAAGCCACGGCUAACUACGUG
rnacentral:rRNA from 1 species